GACGUAGGGCGCAAGCGUUGUCCGGAUUUAUUGGGCGUAAAGAGCUCGUAGGCGGCUUGUUGCGUCGUCCGUGAAAACCCGCAGCUCAACUGCGGGCUUGCGGACGAUACGGGCAGGCUGGAGUUCGGUAGGGGAGACUGGAAUUCCUGGUGUAGCGGUGAAAUGCGCAGAUAUCAGGAGGAACACCGGUGGCGAAGGCAGGUCUCUGGGCAUUAACUGACGCUGAGGAGCGAAAGCAUGGGGAGCGAACAGG
rnacentral:rRNA from 1 species